rnacentral:lncRNA from 1 species
CAGACUGAAAAAAAGAAGGAAAAAGAAUAGCAAAAGUGUGACCUUAGAUUAGCAUAUAAUGGGAUCCUAUGCAUGAAAUUGACAGGUGGUGGCCAAGUGCUUAGACAGGUAGGCUAGGAGAUAAUUAUACAUAAAGCUUAACUUUUAUUAUGAACUCAUAAAUCUCAAACAAUUUCCUUCUCUGCCAUGAAUCCUCAGCUUCAUUCACACAGUAAAAAAUCCAGGGAUUUCCUCAUUAUAAGACCCAACAUUAACCAUGAAAUGAAACUCCAAUGCUACAUUCCCAUGUUGCCAUCCUUCUCCUUGGGCAGUUUUUAAACAAAUUAAUUACGUAAUAUGUUAUCUAAUUGAAGACAGAAAGCUGCUUUGAUGCUCUUAAGUACAGGGAGAGCUACGAACACUAAGAUUUUGGUUGAAGAGAAGAACACAGACAAGGCAGCAGUAGAGUAAAGGAAUUGACAUCAAUAAAUCCAAGACUAAAUAAAUCAACAAAUCUCUUUAGAACACCAUUAGGACCAACUCAAAAACGAAAAGAUUAAGAAAAAGCAAGCCCUAUAAUAUGUUCUAAACAUGACAAGAACAACCACUUACAACAAACUUGACUAAUCUUGGUUGGUAUAAAUAACAAAAUUAAUCAGCGUUUCUUCAGGUUCGUGACCUUCUUCCAUCCUUUCUUGCAUGAAUUUUCCACAAUCUUGACUCCUUUCGUGAACAAAACCUUGAGCUCCUUGGCUCUCUCCUUUACCUGCUUCUCAAAAUCACCCAUGUCUAGAGAUAGAGAAAAAGGAGAGAAAGAGAAGAGAAAAUAAGUAAUACAAGAGAAGGAAUAACCUUUUAGCAGAGAAUCUAGAGGUAUAUAUAGAUGAAGAGGAAUUAAGGGCAAGCUAAGAUUAAUUUUUUUUUAAAAAAAAACGUUGUCUUCCUGUUAAUUGGGUAAAGAUAGUAGCUUCGCUGGCCUGGCAAAACCCUAAAGAAAGAAGUUGUAGCAAUUCUUGGUUGGAUCCUACCAAGAUAAGGUAAUAACGUGGGAUCCAAUACAUGGACGACACGUGGCGAGGAUCAAGUGGGUUUUACUUUGGUUAUCUCAAUAUUACACGUUGAUAGCGGGUGGGAACAAACCGGGGGGUUUGUAAUUUGUAUUUGUUAGGCAAUAGUUUUCUCCUGUGAUUAAGUUUCUAAAUUUAUUACACUAAUUAAAUAUAAAAAUAAUUUUUAAAAAAUAAAAUCGAGUAUUGCAACGGAAAGAGUAUCUCUUUAUUGGACCAUGAACAGUACUUGGAGAGUUGCAACCUGCAAGGGAUUAAGCUGACGUUCACAUCAUACUAAAGUAAUAUUUAUUGUUUAAAAUAUUUUU